GUAAACACAAAGAUAAUCCCCUUUUAUUUGUUCCAACCUUGCUUUUCAUUCCACGUGCAGGAUUCUAUUUUUUGUAGCUCCUGUGGAAACAGUACAGUUUGAGUACUCUAUUUUAGGACCAGGACAUGAAUUAUACAGAGAAGUGGCCAACAAUGUGCAUUGCAUUCUCUUCCUACUGACCCGAGUGCACAGAGAGAGGGAGAGGGAGAGAGAGGGAGAGGGAGAGAGAGGGAGAGGGGGAGACGCGUGGAGAGCGUCUGUGAUGAGUGACCAUGAGCUGCUCUUGGAGUGCUGGUGGGCCGUGCGAUGGCACAGUCUCUGCUCCUGGCAGCCGCCCAGUAUGAUUGUGAUUUGCUGCCCACAGGGUGACCACCUGGCAGACGCUUCCUCCAACAUCCCCGGGUUACACAGGGUGCAUCCAUUGCAGAUUGGAUUUCUUCAAACAGCGUUGACGCAAAGCAAUGUCAUCUCGGUUCACUGCAGCUCUUUCCAGCAGUAUUUGGACACAUGCAUGUAUUUAUUUCAGCCUACAAUGUGCGCACCCUGCUUGAGGGCUAAUUACAUUUGCACAGCUCAAAGGCCCGCGAGUGUCACCUUUCCUUUUGAGACACCUCCCUGGCACAACGGCGUGGAGGAAAACAUCACGAGAUUUGGGGAAAACGAAGCUCGUAAUUGUGAUCUACUCGUGUUUGUGAUCAAGAAGUUCACAAGCAUAAGCACGUUGAAACAUAACCCACGGUUCAUUUGUCACGGAUGUUUCUUAGCCUGUCUAGUGCGGACACACACGCGCGCGCUCACGUGCGCUCACACAUGCCGUGAAGACCACGUGAGCUACAGAGGAGCAGAAAGAGACGACGAGAGGGAAGCACAGUUGACUUCCUCUGUCGUUACUCACACCUGCAGUAGAAUGCAUCUCCAUAGCAACAAGACUUGCAACUGUGCAGAGUUGAUAUUUGAGGUUGUGAUCUUUAAUGCCCACUUUUAUCUCCCUUUUUUACUGCAGUAUUUUGUGGAAAUGCAUUUCUCGGUGGGUUUUCUCCCUGACCUCCUCUCUUAAUUGGGUUUGUUUCACAACUAAGACUCGCUUGUCAUCAGUCUGUCAACUGAAAGCUAUUAAUAAAUCAUCCCAAAUCAUGCUCAUAUACGCAGGAACAAAAAUGGUGUAAUGAUUUCUUUGACUACAUCUCUCCUGUCAGCCAAUUACUGUAUACAAUGAACAUGUAAUUCAAAUUGGCUUAUACAAUUAUUGUAUCAUUAUUAUUAUAUAGUUAUUGUACAAUUAUAUAAUAUAUUGUGCCUACACGAUGCCAUCUUUUCUAAAACCUUUUUAAGUUGUUUCCGUAAUUUGAGUGUCAAAAUCAUGCGUGCAUGAUAAUCUAGAGUUUACUCAGCAAAGUAAAGUCAGUAAGGAAGGAAUAGUUUACAGUAUAUGUAACACAGCGGAGAUACGGUAUUCUCUCAGCACAUAUAAAAUAAAUGUAUUUUUUAUCAAUAUCAAAAUAAACUUAACACAUUUAUUGUGCUCUACUGUUACGGUUACACUUCUAUUUGUUGUAUAAGCUUUGGUACUAUAUCAAGAACGAACUCCCACCACCUCAUUUGAAUAAUGUGUCGUCGGUCUAAUUGGCACUGCUUCUUCUUCAUGAUGAUUUUCAAAUAUUGUGUAUUAUGAAUAAUGACAUGCUCUGCACACUACUUACAGUAUCACGCUGCACGCUUUUAUCCCCGAUGAUGUAAGCAAGUUCAAAAUCUUUAAGUGUAAUCAGGUGAAAGACCUGAGAGAUAAUUGAAAAUGCACACGCCAAGGAGGUAACAACAAAGUGGCAGUGGCCGUUCCUUUGAAGCUGAUGCGUUAUGUUGUUAUUAUGGGCAACAUUCAUAGCAGAUAAGGACACCUUAAAACCCUCUGUAAUUGUAUGCAUGAUGAAUAUAAAAGCUGCUGAGCCGAAGGCCUCGGGUGGAUUUCUUAUUUCACAAGAACCCUUAGAUGUCCUCGUGUCGAAUUCGUCACUCUGUUUUUUUUAUUAUUUUAUCCCUCUUAAAUAUGCAUCUAAUAGCCGGCAUUAGCUUCUCCCGAGAAGUGCAGCCUCAUCAUGUGGUAAUAAUGAGCCUGGUGGCCACUCGCAGGCAGGCUGAUGGUUGACUUGACGCUGCCAUCUAGUGGUCGUGCAGUUCUAGUUUGACAUCAGCCAAUAAACAUGGUGUUCUGGUUAAUACUUUAUUUUCAACCUUUCAUCCGCGGAUAAUGAGGCAGUGCGGCCUCGGACCCACCGACACAAGAACAAAGACACGCAUUCAAAAAAUGAAUGCUUUUGGUGAUUUUGCAUUUGGUCACAAACUAUCAUUAUAUAUGAUUGAUGUUGUUGAUGAAUAAAUCAAUUAUAAUAAUAAUUUCAAAGUUAUAUUAUUACUUAAAUUUGCUUACAAGUACGUUAUGA
ensembl:lncRNA